CAGAGGGAGAAGCAGGCUCCAUGCAGGGAGCCCGACGUGGGACUCGAUCCCAGGACCCCAGGGGAACGACCUGGGGCAAAGGCAGAUGCUCAACCGCUGAGCCAUCCAGGCGUCCCCCAGGGCCUCUGCCCUUAACCAGUGGACUGCACCACCUCCUAAUGAAACUAGAAGAUAGAGAAUAAAGAUGGGUACAAAUGUGAAUAAGAGAUCAUCUCUACUGUCAAGGAGCUCUAGUCAAGUGGGAAGGUGCAGGAAUGAGGCUGAAGUGUGGUAGAGACAAGACACAAAGGGCCUUGUGUGCUGUUCUAAGGAGUUUGCAUGUGAUUCCACAGCGAAAACAAACCCGUCAUUAUUUAGGAUGAUGCUUUGGUAAGCAGAAUCGGUCACAUGCAAGAAGAAAAAGAAGAGAUGUUCUCGAUGCCCAGUGCUUCGAGAGCCAGCGUAGUGCAGCUCAGUUGUAAAGAAUGAGACGUCACUAGUAUUUACUUUUAGCAAAAACUGUGGUCAGAACAACGGCGUCCUCAGUUAUGCGGGCGUGGCCUACACAAGUAGACGAAGAAGAAUCGGGAGACUGAGUAAAACAUUCAGCUGCUCCAUGUGGAUGGAGAAAAGCAGGAACAAAGCAGAGGCUUCAUUCGUUCCUAGUUGGUGCCAAGAGACAAUUCACCGGCCCUCAUGAGAUCCUCCCUGGAAGAGGACCGGUAUGGAGGAUUUUACUUAUUUAUUCAUGAGAGACCCAGAGAGAGAGGCAGAGACACAGGCAGAGGGAGAAGCAGGCUCCAGGCAGGGAGCCCGACGUGGGACUUGAUCCCAGGACCCUGGGAUCACGACCUGAGCCAAAGGCAGGCGCUCAACUGCUGAGCCACCCAGGUGCCCCACCUCAGAUUUGCUGAAUCCGAAUCUUUGGAGAUGGAGUCCAAAAAUAUCAGUUUUCCCAAGUCCUCCACGCAGUGAUGUACUGGGGCUGCAACUCAUUGUCAUGAAGAACAAAAGACUCUCUUCAUCAAAGUUGAACUUUUGUCUUCAAAAGGGUGGAUUAUGUGGAAGACUGUCGGAGUGCUACUUUCAGAUAGGUCUACCGAUAACAGCAUCCUGGGCAAAUCUGCCUCAACCCUGUCCUCUGAGAUCAUCAGCAAGAAGUGUGUUUACCAGGAUUCCAGUUCUGCAAAGGAGGUUCCUCAAAAGAAGGAAGCAUCCACCCACCUGAGAGACUCUGUGUCAGAGAGAACCCAGAGCUUGGACGGCAGCAUACUCGCUUCUCUCCAUGUCACCUUGCGCUCUAAGGACACCUCCUACUUAUUUGUAUGGAUGUCUGUCCUGGAACAAAAGGAAAGCACUGAAAAAUCAAAUUAAUUGGUGUUACUGAGCCUCUCCACUAACGACUCACGUGGAUUGAUCAACAUGCCGAAGUGCAGAUACUGAAAGAAUCUGCUCCAGAGAACAUCCAAGCAUGACCCAACACCUCCUACAGACAAAAUCCAGGCUGGAACCAGCCAGCAAGAUUGAGCUUGCUGCUGGGAUUGUCCCAGGCCCUGAAGAGAACUGAACAGUGGUCUGGUGAAAUUUCUAGCAUAUUUUGAAAGGAAAUGUUUUGUCCAGAUAUACAUAGUUGGAUUUGAAUAACGCAUAUAUGAUAGGACUCCACCGAUGGUAGUCCCAGAACCGGAAGUGUAUUGAGGGUUUGGAGAGAAACUAGGAAAGAAUAAGCAUUGAAUAAAUACAGGGUAAAACAUGCUUUGUAUCUUUCACAUGUAGAUGGAAAUUUUUAUUUGGUUAUAAAGAAAAAGUUUCUGAUUCUUGGGCAAAAAAUAAUAAGAAAUUAUUCCGAUUAUGAGUCUUUCCCUGAAAAACAUUUAUAUAAGAUUUCUUUAUAUAAGAUUUCUCUGAUAGGCAAAGAAAGGUAUACAGUAGAUCAGUGUAGACAGCGUAUACAGUAGAUCAGUGGUCCCUAAAUCCACUUGAUUAACAGAAUCAGUACGGAAGAAUUUUAGAUGCAGGUUUCAGACUUAAUGAAUCAGAAUCCUGAGAGAGAACCAGGAAAGUUAUUUAUAAAUCUGAAGAUCUAAAUCUACAUCUGUUUCGGGUGGUUGUCCAGGUUUGGGAGCCAUUGUGAGGAUGACAUCCUGUUGCACCUUCCAGAGGUAAAAUCAAACUUUUUGUCCUCUGAGGCUGGUCCGUAGUUGUAGUUUUUUGUCUUGUUAUAUUGAACUUUUAAAUAAUAAUCCCUGCUUUUGUUCAAGAUUAGUGUCAUACACUAGCAUGAUACACAUGUUAGCCCCACUUAUCACAAUUCUUCAUUCUCUGAGAACUUCCCAGUCUAUAGGAAGGCACCCAGUAGACUUUUUUAUAAUGAUACAACCAAAUCCCCUGGCCUCUGUUUAGUGGAAUGAGAAUGUUCCAAGAAGAGCAAGUCGGAAGCCCAGCCCCCUAGAAAUAUGAAAUCAGGAGCUAGAGUGAAAGUUAGUCUUUCAGUGUGGCUAGACCUUGUUGACUUGGAAAUGGCUGGCUGACAUCUUCCACUGGACGGAGACACAGGAAGGGCUUUUCCCCCAAGAAAGAAGACAACAGAGGCACAGAAAGAAGCAAGAGACCAGCAAGAGUACUCUCCGGAUCUCCAACAGGCUUCCAGCACCUAUUACGACCUUCCCAAGGCCAUCAUUGCUUUCUAGCCCUCGGGUCCCAUGAGCCACCCUUCCUCCUUCUAAUUAUUUUUGUUAUUUAAAAGCUACCUCAAGAUGUCACUUGCAGCAAGUGAUCUACCAAUGUGCCUACUUCCACCUGAUAAUGAAUGACAUAUUCUCCAGGCAAGAGAGGUUCCGUGUCCCUCCCCACCAUAGUGACCAAAGUCAUUCUUUUCCCAAGUGUAACAGUUCAGAGGACAUAUGACAACUUCCUUUAUAUUUGAUGAUCUCUAUACACUAUGCAUCUGUGAACACUGAUAUGAUGGGGAAAAAAAUCUAUGUUCU